rnacentral:pre_miRNA from 14 species
UAUUAGGUAAUUAAUAAGAUUGGGGAGUGAGUCUGAAAGACCCCCGGAGUGGGGAGACCCUCACUCAAGUCUCAGGAUGAUGCGACCCCCCAAGAACUCACAUGAGACC